AAAGUCGUAACAAGGUUUCCGUAGGUGAACCUGCGGAAGGAUCAUUACAGUGUUUCUCUGCCCUCACGGGUAGAAACGCCCACCCUUGUAUAUUAUAUCUUUGUUGCUUUGGCAGGCCGCCCUCGGGCACCGGCUCCGGCUGGACUGUGCCUGCCAAAGGAAACCCAAACUCUGAAUGUUAGUGUCGUCUGAGUACUAUCUAAUAGUUAAAACUUUCAACAACGGAUCUCUUGGUUCUG
rnacentral:misc_RNA from 1 species